rnacentral:rRNA from 1 species
UACGAAGGGGGCUAGCGUUGCUCGGAAUUACUGGGCGUAAAGGGCGCGUAGGCGGGUCGUUAAGUUAGAGGUGAAAGCCCAGGGCUCAACCCUGGAAUUGCCUUUAAUACUGUCGACCUUGAGUAUGGCAGAGGUGUGUGGAACUCCGAGUGUAGAGGUGAAAUUCGUAGAUAUUCGGAAGAACACCAGUGGCGAAGGCGACACACUGGGCCAUUACUGACGCUGAG